rnacentral:rRNA from 1 species
UACGGAGGGUGCGAGCGUUGUCCGGAAUCACUGGGCGUAAAGGGCGCGUAGGCGGCGCGGGUAGUCAUCGGUGAAAGUUCAGGGCUCAACUCUGAAUCGGCCGGUGAUACUCCCGUGCUCGAGCACUGUAGAGGCAGGUGGAAUUCCGGGUGUAGCGGUGGAAUGCGUAGAGAUCCGGAAGAACACCGGUGGCGAAGGCGGCCUGCUGGGCAGUAGCUGACGCUGAUGCGCGACAGCCAGGGUAGCAAACGGG